rnacentral:rRNA from 1 species
GAUGAACGCUGGCGGCGUGCCUAAUACAUGCAAGUCGAGCGAAUGGAUUAAGAGCUUGCUCUUAUGAAGUUAGCGGCGGACGGGUGAGUAACACGUGGGUAACCUGCCCAUAAGACUGGGAUAACUCCGGGAAACCGGGGCUAAUACCGGAUAGCAUUUUGAACCGCAUGGUUCGAAAUUGAAAGGCGGCUUCGGCUGUCACUUAUGGAUGGAUCCGCGUCGCAUUAGCUAGUUGGUGAGGUAACGGCUCACCAAGGCAACGAUGCGUAGCCGCCCUGAGAGGGUGAUCGGCCACACUGGGACUGAGACACGGCCCAGACUCCUACGGGAGGCAGCAGUAGGGAAUCUUCCGCAAUGGACGAAAGUCUGACGGAGCAACGCCGCGUGAGUGAUGAAGGCUUUCGGGUCGUAAAACUCUGUUGUUAGGGAAGAACAAGUGCUAGUUGAAUAAGCUGGCACCUUGACGGUACCUAACCAGAAAGCCACGGCUAACUACGUGCCAGCCGCCGCGGUAA